rnacentral:rRNA from 1 species
GACGAACGCUGGCGGCGUGCUUAACACAUGCAAGUCGAACGGUGAAGCGCCUUCCUUUUUGGUGGGUGUGGAUGAGUGGCGAACGGGUGAGUAACACGUGAGUAACCUGCCCCCUUCUUCUGGAUAACCGCAUGAAAGUGUGGCUAAUACGGGAUAUUCUGGGUCUGUCGCAUGAUGGGUCUGGGAAAGAUAUUGUUUCGGUGGGGGAUGGGCUCGCGGCCUAUCAGCUUGUUGGUGGGGUGAUGGCCUACCAAGGCGGUGACGGGUAGCCGGCCUGAGAGGGUGGACGGUCACAAUGGGAAUGAGACACGGGCCAGACUCCUACGGGAGGCAGCAGUGGGGAAUAUUGCACAAUGGGCGGAAGGCUGAUGCAGCGACGCCGCGGGAGGGAUGGAGGCCUUCGGGUUGUGAACCUCUUUCGCCAGUGAAGCAGGCCUGCCUCGUUUGUGGGUGGGUUGACGGUAGCUGGAUAAGAAGCGCCGGCUAACUACGUG